rnacentral:rRNA from 1 species
GAUUCUGGCUCAGGAUGAACGCUAGCUACAGGCUUAACACAUGCAAGUCGAGGGGCAGCAUUGGGAUAGCUUGCUAUUCAGAUGGCGACCGGCGCACGGGUGAGUAACGCGUAUCCAACCUUCCUGCCAGUAGGGAACAGCCCGGCGAAAGUCGGAUUAAUGCCCUAUGUUCUUCAAUGCGGUACAUCUAAGUUGAAGGAAAGAUUCAUCGCUGGCAGAUGGGGAUGCGUCCGAUUAGCUUGCCGGCGGGGUAACGGCCCACCGGGGCGACGAUCGGUAGGGGUUCUGAGAGGAAGGUCCCCCACACUGGUACUGAGACACGGACCAGACUCCUACGGGAGGCAGCAGUGAGGAAUAUUGGUCAAUGGGCGUAAGCCUGAACCAGCCAAGUAGCGUGCCAGGACGACGGCCCUACGGGUUGUAAACUGCUUUUAUGCGGGGAUAAAGUGCGGCACGUGUGCCGCUUUGCAGGUACCGCAUGAAUAAGGACCGGCUAAUUCCGUGCCAGCCGCGGC